ACCCAACCUAAUUAUGCCCACCCCAAACCUACCCAAACCCGCUCAUUUGACACACCUAUGUGUCAUGAACAAUGUGCUCCAUGUGAUUGUCUAGGUUGUUCAGCUUCUCAAUUUGCCUUUUAUACUCUCAUUCCACUUCUUAGAAAAGAAAUUAAGUUCAUGGAUUACUAGUCCAGACAAGAAAGUGGGUGUUUCUCUCCCGACCUAUUGUAUAAGUUGCUUUGUCUUUGGGUUAUCCAUGUGAACAUUUAUUUUCUUUGGGCAUACUAUGUGGUUUUAAAUAAUGAAACUAGUACAUAUAUAUAGAUUUCAAGCAUAGUGUUCGUAUGUUGAUGUAACCAACAACAAGAAUGCUAAUGCUCCUGUGCAGGCCAAACCAGAGACAAUGACAAAGGUGUGUGAAAUUGUGAAGAAGCAGCUAGCUCUACCUGAUGAUUCCGUAGUCACUGGAGAGUCAAAAUUUGCUGCCCUUAGAGUUGAUUCUCUCGACAUGGAUGACGUAGACGCCAAGCCUACAUAGAAGCCAAACCUAUAUGAAGAAGAAAUUAAAUUUUGAAUGGCAUGAUUAAAUGGAUGCUAUUCUUUGUUUGAUCACCGAAAGCGAGAAAAGGCGGCUGCUGAAGGGGGAUUAGUGCUAAAUUUCAGAUUGUUUUAUGAUGGUGUAGACCACAUGUUCUCACACUUGUACAAGUUUUACCAUUUUGAUGAAAUGUUGUAGAAAAAUAUAUGUUUUGGAUGUAUGUAGAAACUUCAACAUUUACCUUUAGUAGCCAUUUGGAUGAUUCAAAAAUUGUUUUGAAUGGAAGUAUUUUGCUUAGGCACUAUCUUAUUCAUUACACUUUGGCUUCAAUUUGCAUCCUUAUAGGAUUUGUGAAUGUAAUUUUUAGGUUCCAUGAAUGUGUAUAUUUUUAGGUUGUUUUUAAGUGAAAUAAUAGCCUUGUAAUCAAAGUGUACAUUUUAA